UACGAAGGGGGCUAGCGUUGUUCGGAAUUACUGGGCGUAAAGCGCACGUAGGCGGGCCGAUAAGUUAGGGGUGAAAGCCCAAGGCUCAACCUUGGAAUUGCCUUUGAUACUGUCGUUCUUGAGUCCGGGAGAGGUGAGUGGAACUCCGAGUGUAGAGGUGAAAUUCGUAGAUAUUCGGAAGAACACCAGUGGCGAAGGCGGCUCACUGGCCCGGUACUGACGCUGAGGUGCGAAAGCGUGGGGAGCAAACAGG
rnacentral:rRNA from 1 species